rfam:Shigella dysenteriae Sd197, complete genome.
GGCCGGAUAAGGCAUUCACGCCACAUCCGGCAAUCGAGCACAAUGCCUGAUGCGACGCUGUCGCGUCUUAUCAGGCC